rnacentral:rRNA from 1 species
AAUGAACGUUGGCGGCAUGGAUUAGGCAUGCAAGUCGAGCGAGAAGGGUUUUGAAGCUUGCUUUAGAACCCGGAAAGCGGCGCAAGGGAGAGUAACGAGUAGUUAUCUACCCCAAGGCCCGGAAUAGCUGCGGGAAACUGCAGGUAACGCCGGAUAAUAUCCCCGGAUCAAAGGUGUGAUUCCGCCUUGGGAGGAGACUGCUUUGUACUAGCUAGUUGGUAGGGUAAUGGCCUACCAAGGCUACGAUGCAUAGCGGGCGUGAGAGCGUGGCCCGUCUCACUGGGACUGAAACACUGCCCAGACACCUACGGGUGGCUGCAGUCGAGAAUCUUCGGCAAUGGGCGAAAGCCUGACCGAGCGAUGCCGCGUGCGGGAUGAAGGCCCUCGGGUUGUAAAGCACUGUCGAGGGGGAGGAAAGCCGUAAGGUCUGACCUAUCCCUGGAGGAAGCACGGGCUAAGUUCGUGCCAGCAGCCGCAGUAACAC